CUGGGGUGGACGGGGGUUAGUGGAGGAGGGCAGCGGAGGCCUGCAACAUGGCGGCCGAGGGGCGGUGAGGGGAGAGCGAGCUGGGGUGCUUCCCGUUAAGGGGCGAAGAGACGAGGCCCUGCGGGGAGGGGAGACAAGGAGGGAGCCGGGAAGCGUCAAAAGCCUGUCAGAAAUCCGUCGGGGCCGGGUGGCCGGCGGAGGGAGAAGACGGCACUGGGAUGCCAUCUCCACCACCCUACCAGGGGCAGCCCUGUGGUGCGGGCCAGUCAGGACUGUGGGCAGAGUUUAAAGUUGGAGGGGUCAUCUCAUGUUUUGUUUUGGGUUUAGUUAGUUGGAUUUAGGAGCUAGUCCAAGAGUGGGAAAGUAGAAGCUGAAGGGGCUUAGGAUGCUAGGAGGAUGCUACAGACAGACUAGAGGAGGAGAUUGUGCGCGAUCUUGCGUUGGGGAUUGAACUGCAGAGGGCUCAAGGCAAGGCAGGUGGAGAGGAGGGGAUCUGAGUGCGUUGGAGGGGACGGAAACAGAACAGAUGGAACAUUUGGAGCUGUAAAUGGAGCCCAAGUCUGCGUGGGGAAGCAGGGGGUUUGGAUUCUUGGUGCAUGUAAAGAUGAAGGUUGGACUUAGCGGGAGCAUGGGAAGGAGACUCGAAAUAUAGCAGGGUGCUCUGAAGGUUGGCAACUACACCGCAUCUGUCAUGCAAGACACUGUAGGAUGCUAUUCCCUUUGCUAAGAAGCAUGCCUUUAACAGCAGGCUCUGUACCAGCAAAAGAAAAAAUGCAUCACCCUGCCUAAAAGAUAAGGCAGUGCAAAAGGACUACCCCUUUCUAGUACUGUCAGAGCUGCUGUGAAAAUAUGGUGGCCGAGCUGCGGUGGGAAUUUUAGUGUUAUGAAACGUCUGUACUAUGGUGCUUGGGUCCUCUCUACAUCUGCCAUGAUCAUCAGCGUCAGAAACUUGAACAUUAUGCAAAAGCAAACUUGAAAAUCACAAGACUGAGCUAUUCGUUUCUAAAUGAAAUUGAGGGUAGCAGGGAAAGUACAUCACUCGUGAGACUUGAGGAAGGAGUCCAGUGCUAUCAGUGAGUCAGAGUUGAAAGCAGACAGAUAUUAGGAGUGGUUUAUAAAAUCCUUCAAGAGUUGCUACUAGAGAGGGAACCAGAAGUUACUAAAAUUGGCAUGAGAAGAUGGGCAUGAAAUGGAGACAGGUAAACACAAGGAUCAUUAAAGUACUGGUCAAAACAGAGUCUACUUUGACUUCAUCAAACACUUUGGUCAACUACCUGGUUGUUUAACUGCCCACUGACUGGGAGAACAAUGUUGCUACUCAAAUCUUAUCUGGUUUCACUGGAGACGAGUUGCUGAGCAACCAGUUAGACCAAGAGCACGGUAAAGAAUGUAAAUGCCACCUCCCUGCAAAGAAGUUUGUCCUUCAUUGCAUUGCCAUCGAGCAGACUGCCUCCUCCUGUAAACAUCAGUUGACACUUGCCUAUCGGGGAACAAGAAGGGAAAUUCCACCACGGCAUUCAGGAAAAAAAAACCUUUCAAGCACUGGUUGCCCAGAGGGACUGAGGAAUCUCCAUCCUUCGGCAUAUUUACAACUUGACUGGAAAAGAGCCUGAGCAGCACAGGCUAACUCGGCCCUGUUCUGAGCAGGGGGCUUAAGCAUGUGCUCUCCAGGGGUCCCUUUUUUCUAUCAACAGUAAGCAACUGUGUACCAGCUCAGUAAAAAAGAAUGGACAUUUUUAGGUACUUUUAACUUCCCAGUAACGUGGGCUAUGCUGCGGUAGCUAACAUGAAAAGAAUAAUACAGUGGUGAGGUGUUAAGAAGCAGAUAGCUUGCACUCACAUAAACCCACAUGCAGGGACACCUGCACGCUUUGACAUUGGCUGCUCUACAGGAAAGCAGUCCAACAACAAAAUAUGAAGGUGGAGAGAGGGGUGCUUGAGGCUGAAGAAACCCUUGGAAAAAGCAUGAAUUCUUGUUCUUGCCAGAUUUUGUUUCCAAGAUGCUUGAAUUGAGCCCCUGUAGCAAACUGAGCAAGAGCUCUGAAUGGAAGGUAAUAUAACCUGCAUUGAGAGCUGGUUGCACAACUCAUGUACAUGCUAAACCCUUUCUUUCUGGACGUCCUUUCCAAGGUGGUGCCAGAGGGAUGAAAUAAAUUCUGUCUCCUGAAUGGGGGAAGAUCUAUCAAGUCAUUUGGUCUGGUAUUUUGAAAAGUCUAGCAAAAGAAAUGGUCUCGCAUUUAUCCUCAGAAAUGUAUAAGGUUUUCCGUGUUUAAGAUAACUAUGCUAGGGGACAUAAUUUUGUCCCCAGUCACAGGGGAGAAGCGUGCAAACCUUGACCUCAAAGGUACUUACUUCCAUCUAUGAGAAAGAUUCAAUUACAUUGAAUGGUUUCAGUUCCAGGAAAGUAAUCUCUGAUAACUGUCAGAAAUCAGUCUUUCAGAUAUGAAAAGCUCUGCUUUCACAAAUUUUAUCAUUCUGGUCACUAUGUUAUGCCAUUUUCUUGUCUGUAAGUGAAGUCCCUGGAGCAUUAGGAGCUCCUUCUCAUGUGCUCUGUGUCUAACACAGCAAAAUGACACCAACCUCUCCCCCCCGUAACGUGGCAACAUCUUCCCUGACCCAAGCCUAGGAGAACUAGACCCAACACUUCAGCAUAGUGGCAAGAUUAGUGCCAAAUCCCAAAAUACUGUAACUUCAUUAGCCUGACUGAAGACCCCUGCCUGUACAUCUAAAGAUUACAUUACCCCUUUCUAUUCAGCUGCUGUGCCUCUCUUUUCUGAGUCUUCCAGAGCCAUCGCUCCAAAGUAUAGUUUCUCAUCUUAAUACUGUGGCCUUCAUUCUCUGUUCUUAGAUAUAUAGCUUCAUGUUUAUCUGUGAUAAAGUAAUAUAUUAUAUGCUUGCUUUCUGUUUACCAGCUGAUUACAUCAGUGACCUGUUUUCAUUUCUGUUCCUCUGGUCUUCAUGUCUGUCUGUUGCAAUAUGAUGAGUUUGUUUUCUUCUGUAUCACAGAUCAAAAUGGAAAAUGGCCAGGAGACAAUCCAGGUGCAGCUCCGCUAGUUAACACCCCUCCUGAACAAAUGAUUUGUUGUCUAGCAUUCAGACUGAAAAUUGAGUCAACCACUGGAUUUUGAACGAUCUGGUAUAUUAAUUUGCAGUAACUUCAUGACUAAAGAACUGUGCAAAACUAAAGCCUCAUGCUUUAUAGCUGUGUUCAUAACUGUCUUUACAAAUUAAGCUCUUAGUCUUCUGAAAAAGAUACCAGAUUAUCUCAGCAAAAUCUACUUUCUGUAAAUCCAUGUCAGUGGGCAUAAAUAAUCUACUUCCUUUUAUUUUGGUAUUUAUUAACACAGUCUUUUUGGGCAGCAUGUAUUUCAGGCUAUGGACUUCCAUCAGGCCCAUGGCCAGAAGAAUCCAGGCAAUGUCAGGCUAUGGGCUGGACAGAAGUUCACAACCUGAAUUGCCCGGGUUAUUCUGUCGGUCUUUCAAAACACUGUUCCAGCGUGAACUUCGUUCCCACCCCCUGGAGAUCCCUGGACUUCCAGUUCUUCUGAAAAUUUUCACAGCUCCACACAGUCGUCAAUGCUUCAUAAAGUAAGGAAACAAAACAAAAACACCAAAGGAGUGACAGCUCUGCUGAUAACACCGGCCCUGGGGAGCGCAGCCGCAGUGCCCCCUAGCGGCCCCUGCCUAAAAUUUAAGCAGUUAUUUUCUCUACUACACAGCUAAGUAAUCUUUUUCCUUUCUGUUUAGACCCUUGCAUCGCUAUUUUUUUUUUUUCCUUCCCUGUCCGGGCCAGCCCUAGUGACAGUAAAUGUCUGUGGACAUGUUAUGGUUUGAGAAAACCCAUAACAAUUUAUUGUCAUUUAGAUGAUUAUUCUAUCGCCCAGUGACCCCUCCCCACUUGGGAAGGGGAACCAGGAAACAAGGAAAAAAAAACCCAAGGAAACACAAGGGUUGAAAUAUAAAUAGAUUUAAUAGGAUAAAACUAAAUAAUUAACAAUAGUACUAACCAAUAGUAAUAUAAGAUAUAGAAGGAUUAUACUCAGCCAAUUCUAUCAGCAGGAAGCAGUGCACUCCCAGCAGUGGACAACAAAUGUCGGACACUGUGAGUGCUGCGUCUUCGGGAGGAAGGGAAGGGCUCAGGGGUCCAGCACUGGGGCAAGAAGUUCUCUAGACCGACGCUAUCAAGGGAGAGUGAAACUACGCAGCAAACUUUCUAAUCUAUGUUGAAUGCAAUGUUCAUGGUACGAAAUAAUCCUGUUGGCCAGCUUGGGUCAAGUACCCAGGCCUUGCUCCUCCUCGUCCCUGCACCUGGCAAGGCUCAAACACCAAGGCCUUGAAUCCCACAUAGCCUAGCUGGCUAUAAAGCAAAUAUUUUCAUGAAUUCAGACACUAGUCUUUCUACAGUGCAGUCUUCCCAAGCGUUAGAAGAGAAGUUAGUCUUGUGUCGCUCAACCCAGGUCAGGUCCACAGGUGAAAUCUCUGCCCCGCUGGAGAAUGUGGCAGUGAUCCACAUCAUUUGUAAUCGGUUGGAGUCCCUUGUCGUUCUAGUCAAAGUAUGCCACAAUAUAGCAACAGCACAGGCUGCCUGAGGAGAUGUUGUGAACCUGACCAUGGAAAGGGCCUGUGCACGUCUGGGGGAGCAUCACUUCUCCUCGGAUCUCUCCAAAUGGUACAGCAUUGCUAUGUCAAGCUACAGCUCAUUUUUAUAGCUGUCAGUACACUAAUUUAAGGUCAGUUCACGGGAGAAAUGCAGGUUUAGCUUAACUUCUCAUCACGAAACAUCUGACUGAAAUAAAGUCUGCUUGACGGUACAUGCGGGUGUGCGAGCACACCCUGUUCAGGAUAGGGUGGAACCAGGAUGUUGCCUGCCCAAGAACGCGCGGCUGCCACUUGGCAAAGCACACAACCCCUGGCAAUGGGCCCAGAAAACCAGAGCACCCCAUAAAAGAAGUAAAACAAACAAACAAACAAAAAAAUAAUGCAAGCAGAAAAGAGCUCUUAAACAGGCUUCCUUACUUGGGCCAGAGGCAGAUUUUUUUUAAUUUUUUUAUCUUGUAGUCCUCCUGUAAGCAACAUCCAAGGACAGAGAAGGCACUGCCUAUCUACCUUUCUCCCCUAUGGCUGCAUCUUCCAGGACAGCCCACUCACCACCCUCAAUCCCCCUUUUUUUUUCUGAUCAUUUAGGCUCAAACAAAGGAAAGUUUGCCCUCAAGUCACUAAUGAACCCACUUUGGAUAAGCCGGUCUCCUCAGGAACCAGCAGCGCACUACUGCAUCAGGCUGUCCAUUCCUGUCACUAGACUUCUUGUAAUCACACUUCAAAGCUUUGCCGCUACAUUGCUCCAAUCUCUUUGGUGUCCACCCUGUGAUAUCCGCAUGGAAAUGGCAUUGUAAACUCCAUCAGGAUGUACGCUGCCAACAUGUGUCCAGCUCCUCAGCUGGGUCCAGGCUGGAUUUUGGCAGACAGGGCUAGGGAAAUACGAAGGGUGCACAUGACCCGUACCAUGCCUCUUUACUGAUAGGAACCCGGCUCUGUCUCUGUGAUCAUCUCACAUUGCUUCACCAUCUUCAGCAUAUGAGGAUGGAGGCAAAGUGGAUGCAAAAGAAGAGGUCGAAAUCAUAGCCUGCAAGACAUCUGAGGCAAAGUGAGGUAGGCAGCUGGGGACGGCUGCAAUACAGACAUUAAAGAGGUUCUGACUUGAAUCUCCAUUUAAAGGAGACCAGUGACCAGCAACAGUACCUGGAGAUGAAAAAAUUACAAGAAGUCAAGAACUGGCUGAUGAAAAUUUUUAUGACAGUAUUGGAGCAAGCCCAAGAUCCACCUGCACAAAACUAACAUUAUUUCAAACAGUAUUCAGCUAAAAUAAUGAUUUAUGUUUUUUUACCAAACUGUUUUACAGUAUGUGACUGCAAACUUCUGAUCUGAUACUAGGAGUCCUAAAGCCAAAUUUACUGUGUCCCCAACCUACAGCUCCUUAAAGUAUCGGCAGUUUUUUUCUUUGCAUAUUUCUCAUCUGACUGGUGGUCUGGUGCUAUUUGCUUAUAGAACUGAAAAUAGCCAUUGCCUGAGGUGACUAGAUUUUCAGGGAAGCGUUUCAUGUAAGAUCUAGCUGCAGUCUUUGAACACGACAAACAGCCUGCAUUGAACUACUCGAUCACACCAAUUAGAGUCAUUCACAAAUGUAAUUAUGACCCAAUAUUUAAGAUGCUUUUUUAGAAACAAAAUCCAAAAGUGAAAAUUUAGAAAUACUUGAAAAAUUAGAGGAAUAAAAGAGGAUGAAGGAACUAUUUUUUUUUUCCUUUAGCAGGAGAGCUUUUCCUGUAACAGGCACAAAACGAACAAUUAACCUUUGUAUUGCACUUUUCAACCAUAGAUUUUAUGGUAUUUUACAGAAGUGCUCAAGUAUCACUGUCAGAAAAACUGAAUCAAACCCAGUGGAAUUACUUGCUGUAGUUCUGCCAAAGAGGCAAAAGCAGAAUUAAAUGCUAUUAACUGUCUUAUCUCUUAAUUCUCUACACUGACUGUCACUGCUGUAAACUAUAUUAUCUAUUCUGAGAUGGAAAGGUGAAAAACUGCUCUUUAUGCACUUUAGACCCUAGUGAGGAUCAAAACAUAUUACUGCAUUAAUCAAACAGCACUGCAUAAAUCAAAUGCACUGUUCUUUUUUAGAAGUUAUCUUUAGCAUUUUUAUACCACGUAAUAGAUUUAUAUUUGACUGAGCCUUUGCAAAUUAUUCUUUAUAAUAGUUUAUAUACUGCAGACAUUUGUUUAUAAAGUAAAAGAGAUUUUUGCUCAAAGGGUUCUACAUGUUCCGAUCAACUCAUGGAAACCUCAGGAACACUGGAGAAGGCUCCCUUUGGUUUUGCCAAUGCCUACAUGAAGAGCUACUGUCAGUUGUAGCUACAGGGUAUUCCUUCCUGGUAUACACUUCCAGACCACCAAGGUUUUUUAACUUCAAAUCCUUACAUCUGGGUUUUUUUCUUAGAAACAAUGCAUGCCCAGUGCUGUGUAAGUUAAAAUAUCAUUAAACAUUUGUGUGAUUUAGCAUGGUAACACACUUCCUGACAACUAAGGAACCGUGGACGUUUCAGAGGGCACUGCUGAACCAUUUAGAUGGCCCGAGACUAAAGUUUUAUUAGUGUCCAGUCUGUCCACUGAUCGCACUCUGCAAUUACGCGGGAAGUAACUCAUUUCUCAAGGACUUUGCAACGUCAUUGCAGUGUACCAAAGUAACUUCUAUUCUGGAAUCAAUGGGACAAAAGUGCUCUAAUUGCAAAAUGUUUGUAACGUUUCACAGUGUCUAAUCCAAAUAGCAGAUCUCUGAAGUGUCAAGUUAGCUUAGAUGGAAGACAUUUAGGGCUCAGGACUUGGUCUCAGGUCCACUGUUGGUACUAGCAAAUGCUUUGAAGGUAGGGAAAGGAGUGCCUUAUUGUUGUAAUUGCUGUCCUUUGGCUGAAAUACUUAAAUGAAUUGCAUUUUCUUCUGCUGAGAGCUGUUUAUCCCAACGUAAAUGUAGAUACAAACAAACAGAAGAUAGCUGGUGUUUUCAAAGCCUGAAUGUCUAUCCCACCUUCCCCAGUCUGGCUCUCAAACUACAGAGGGCCAGCCUUUCCAGUUCCAAACUAUCAUUGCUUCACGCAGUUGGAAACCGCUUGGGAUUUGUUUGCGUUUUUUUAAUGCCAUUCCCAUACUCAAAAAGUAUUGAAAAAAAUGAAUCUACCCUAUGACUUGCCAGGAGGAUGGUCAAUAACUUUUAGAUAAAUGUGAAUUGAGUCCCUGUUGAAAUCUGCAGACCCGAGCUACAGCUGACAGGUCAAGCAAGGGCGGAGUUUUACUCCAAGGAACUUUACCUGUGGGAUGGCCAAUGCUUAAAGGCGUGAAUUCAGGCCGGGAGUCCUUCCUUCAGCUAAACACAUCCUAAUGGCAAGGACAGCCUACCUACUUAUGCUUGGGUUUUCAAUGUUUUGGGGUUAUUUGGACAUUAGUAUAAAAUGUAUGAUCUAAAAAUCACCCAACACACUAGCUCAUAAAACAUUUGUUAUAUGAAGCGUAUUUAGCUGUCUGAUACAAAACAAUCAUGAAACAAGGAUUUGUUCUACUCGCAUUAAGUAUUCAAGGGUGUCGUGCUGCUAGAACGUGGCUUUUUUCCCCCUAAAUCUGUAGGGGGGGGGAAUUUCAGCUGUAUGUUAUUAGAGAAAGGCCUUGGAGUUCUCAGCACCGAUGGUAAUGUCAGGAAAAGCUCAUACACUGCGUGGCUCAUAGCCUCCUGCUGCUGAAAGGUGUUCGUAGCUCCUGGCAGUCUCCUGUUGACACCAGCUAUCUAGUGACAUCGUCAUGUAGCAAAAUCUAGUGCUGCACUAGUGAUAGGUACUGAGCAAACGCAUAGCUGAAUUUCUGAUGGUGUUUCUCUUCUCUCACUAAUAUUCUUGUACACCUCUGAGACCACUACUGCUACAUACUUUUUUCAUUUUGCUCUUUCUUGCAAGGAAAAGCUUACCUUUUCAUUUAUAAGCUGACUCUUUUCAACAACAAUAACAUGAUGAAAGCUUUUACUGGAAAAGAACAGAGAGUUAAUUUUUUCUGGCUGGCCCCAAGUGACCCCUUGUUCCCACUGCCUUUGAAAUUACUGGAGUUUGCUUACCCUGAAAAAUUACAGCUAUAGGAAAAGUUAUGCUUCACUGAUCUAUUUUAAAAAGGAACAGCAGAAUUUUAAAAAUAGAAUCCCCAUUUUUUUUUCUGACUGUGGCAUCUCCAACCCAAGUAUGUUGAUGCAAUUUCCAAAGCACUAAGAAAUGUCUUAGGUCACAUUUAAGUCAGGUCAGCCAAAUCCAGGAUCAGUGAAAAAAUGAGUUGUUCAUCUGGUCUGGAAUGAGAUCUUUCUUCCCAUCAUUCUUAGUUAUAAAGAUAUCUUUUGUGUGGUUGAAGCUAAAUUUAAGCCCAGGCAGAGUGUAUUUGUGUACUAUCUAUGCGUGUUUUAUGCAUCAGCAGCACACUGCGUUACUGGUAGGCUGCGUACACAAUUAAGGCUUUAUGAUCUUUGAAGUUGGUUAAUACAAAGAUUUAUAUAUUUGCAGCAAUAAAAGUCUGGGAAGUAAUGGGAAUAGAUGUUUCUUAGAGCUACCGUCUGAUUCUCCUUUGACUUGUGUUGGUUUGGCUCCAUUGUCUUCAGUGGAGUUAAUCCUCACCCUGAUUUGAGCACCAGAAGAGGAGAAGAAGAAAAUCCAUCCCUGAAUGUAUGUAUUCCUAGGGAGCUCUGCUUUUGUAGAGCUUGCUUUUCUUUCAGACCAUAGCCCUGCGCAGGAGAAAGCACCGAAAGAGCGAGCAGACUCUGCCAUGGAAAUUAAACCAUGCAGCAUGUUUCUUCCACUGAGCAACUCACAGCAGCAUCUUCAAGACUGGGACUGACCCUGGCCCUGACGCCCAGCUCCCCAAGGGGCCAGUUUGCCUGGGGGGCUCCUUCCUCCUCGCUGGUGAUGCUCCACCAGGCAGGCAGGAGGGAGGUCACGCCUGGGCGCAGGAGUGAAAGUCACAUUCAGAGAAGUGUUGUGGAUUGAAUGAAGGAAACGGUAAGCUUUCAGUAAUGAGCCGGGUUAAUGGAUAGUGAAGAUGAUGGUGGUGGUGAGAAUGGAUGGUGGGAAACAAAGCACAGCCAAACCCCUGACUUUUUGCAAGUUAUAAAUACUGUACAAAAUUCUACUUCUGACACCGGAAAAUGCUUUCUCCUGUUGUUCAAAGUGACUCCAGGUGCUGAUGCACUUAGUACACAGCGCAAGUAACCCAACUGGAAUGAAAAAGCAAGCCAGAACGUUUCUCAGCACGAGCAAGGCAAAAUGUCACUUGGCACCGCUACCAAAGAUAAAUGUCAGUAUUUCCCUGGCAGUUAGAAACAAAAUGUUUCCAAGUGUCCAAGGAGUUUUUUCUCUUAGAGGAAUGGUCUCCCCACUGUGUAGAUCACCCUUUCCGCUGGCUGUGCAUCCUCCAGAGGGCAGGUGAGCAGAGUUUUCCUUCCCCGCCGCAGGGGAGCCCUGAGAGCUGCCCUGAUGCUGGCGGUAAAGCUGCUCCCUGGUACCUGCUCCCCCAGGGGUGCUGCAGGCAGAAGCGUGCAUUCACCUGGGGAAGGGCAGGAGCAGCAACGUCGCCUGCCUGAUAAAGCCACCCCGAGCUCCUUGGUCGCUAUGGGGUAUGCUUACACAAAAUACAGCAGGCUAACAUGAUUCAAAGUAAUCAGAGAAGACAAUUUACAGUCCUGCCCCUUUUGAAUGCUGCAGAAAGAAAGAAAAGCCUUAUGGCAAGUUGGAGCACCCUGCAAAGUGUAGCAGGAUAAAUAACCUCCUUGCAAGCAGCAGUCGAAACAAAAACAGGAUCAGCAGCUGCUCUCCCCACCUCACAACUCGUCCAGCCUCCGCCAGGUUGAGCUCCAGACUGCUGCCAAGUUCUCUGGCUUUGGAGGAAAAUGCUUAACAGUUUGAUCGACUGAGAUCGCUGGACAGCAUCCUUUGGAGAUAUACAAGGAUUUCAGGAAGCAAUAGCAAUUAUGGAGUGGCCACGACAUGACUGUAACUUCUCAUCAUUGAUACAGAUGUACAGAGCUUUGAGUGCAUGCUAUUUUUAGGCAUCUAGAUGCGUUCCUGAUGAAGAUUCAGCUUUUAACCACUGCAGUUCAGUAAUUCUUCUGUUUUGAUGUCUUCAUUUUUUCUCAUCGUUAUUUAUUGUUAUUUGAUCUUACAUUUGUUUCCAAGAACUCUGUCUAGGAAUAUCAUAGCAAAGAUAACAGUAUCUUCAGCAAAGAAAGUAAUUCACGUGUCUCAUCCUGGAUCAUUUUUUUCUGUGUGGUUUUAUACAGAGAGGAAACUGAAACAAUCGUGGAUACAGGCUGUGGAUGAACAUUAGCUACCAAAUUUUAUUUCAGAAGAAUAUUGUUAGGAAAUUAAGAUUAUCACAGGAAAAGGACUUGACUUUUUACUGGUGCCCAUGUGAAAUGCUGAUCACCUAUAUGCUUCAGUAAUCCAGCAUAUGUGUGAUAGCUGUUGGGUAAUUCCGAGUAUUCCCUCUGCAGUCUAACCUUCUUCAGGCAAAAGCAGUAUCCAAGCCCACGUGUACAGUUUCCACAGUAACAACUACAACAAAUCAGAUGUUUUAACAUAUGUUUAGGAGGAUUCUUCUCAGUCUGGUGGAAAGGAGAAAUAUCAGAGAGAAAGGCCGUAUCAUUCACCAACUGUACAAUUACUUGGCUGGUAUGAGGCUAUUGUUCCCUCCAUGAGCAGCAGAUCUAUGCAGAUAGCAAUUAGUGUGGUCAGAGUUUUCCUAAUAUCUGCGAUGAAAUCCUGGCUGUCAAACUGAGAAAAUUUUCUGUCCUAUAUGGAGAAAUAUUUCUUCUCAUAAUGUAUGCUGCUCAGCACUGGGGUGGUGAAUAGCAGGCUUGCUCAGCAGAAGUCAGAUUAGAAGAGUCUUCUGUGUUUAGGAAUAUUUUAUUCACCAUCAGUCUUUUUAAUGGACUGUUGACUGACCUCUUUGCUUCAGAAAACAGUAGACAAAGUAGCUUCUCCAUUUGUUGGCUCUUAUGUCUGGAGAUGAGCGGUGACAAACUUGCAAGAUGCAAGGUUUGCAACUUGCAGACUUCCAUGCAAAGACCGUGAAAUACAGCUUUGAGUUGUUACUCACGGAGGACUUCACUGUGCUACGUCAGACUGUCUCUAGGAUACAACCUGACACUUUCAAAAAUGGAAAGAGCUAUACAAAAUUACAUGCUCCUCUAGAGUUUGAGUUAAUUUCAAGCCACGAAGUUAACCUUGGAGCCUUGUGCUGACUCCACAUAUUGAAGCUAUGGAGUUACACGUCCCAUCUCUGCAGCAGCCCUACCAAUAGCUACUGUUUGCAAGCACAGAUUUUCGUUUAAGAUCAGGUUUUCUCGCAACGCCACUCACUAUUGCACAUUCAAUUAAGACAAGCAGUCUCUGCAGCUGUGAUAACUUUCAUUCCACAAUGAAGCUGAGAUGUUUGUUAAGCAAAAAAACUCCAGUCCUUGGGACAAUUAGCAUCUUGGCAAGUCUCCUGCAGCGAUAUCUGGUGGACAGUCAUUAGUACAUCAAAUUACGUAUGCUUGCAAUUUGAUCUUGACCAACGCAAUUUCCUUCGCUUCUUUAGGAUUCUUUCACUGCCUUUAUGCCCAAGGGAUAGAUGGAGAAGAUAGCUGUACACAAAAUGCUUCAGCUGUGAAGCUAAUACUGAAAAGAUACUCUAUUUCUGUAUAAACUCUGCUCUACAAAGCCUAUUUUAACAAUCUGUGAAAUUCAGCAUUAAAAAAAAACACCACAGGAAAAUGUAGUUCCAUCUAUCCAAACUGGCCCUUUUUAUAGUUUAUUAUGGCCUAUGUGAGAGACAAUGUCUUAUCUAUGUCAGAGAGGCAAAAUGACAUGCAGAGAGUUGUCACUUGGUAGGAUUUGCGGCCUAUAGUUUAGCACUAGUUAAGCAUUCAAGAAAGCAUAUUUGAAUUAGCUGACUGUGGAAAUUAUCUUAACUGUAUAAGCAAUAUCAAGAGGCAAGAGAGAGCACGGACAGGUUUGCCUCUGUCACAAGUUACAGAGCAGUUCAGAGUUCAGAUUACACAGGCCAGGGUAAUCUUAUUAAAUCAAAAAAAAGGAAAACUUCUAACGAAGCAAGUAGAGCUUUAUUUUCAAUAAAAACAUUCUGGUUUAGAUUAUUAUUCACACUUUUAUGAUAUCUGUAGUAAUAAUAUUUUAGGUAUUUGGGAAGUUUUACAUCUUUUGGGAAGUUUAACAUCUUUAUUGUUUUCAGGAGGCCUUUGAGAGUCAAAGUCAUUCAUCUCAGAGACAAAAUUUUUCAUGUCUUCCAUGAAUUUCUGCUUGACAUUCAUUGAAAUGGCAACUGUUGGGAACUACCACUGUUUUUCUCUUCUUGGUUUCUCCAACAAAGGUCAAGGCAGUCUGCCAACCUAGUAAUUGGACAACAUCACCAUUUUAAAGACCCGAGUUCUCACUGACACUAAAAUAGUAAUAGGCGAUGAAGCAUUAGGAGAAACUGUUCUCCUAAGCAAAAGUAGAAUGGAAUUUCUGGACUGGAUUUAACAGAGAAAAGGGUUAGGAGGAUUUAGUAAGGUAGAGGAAACAAAACCUGAUUUCUACUAAUCAGUCUUCCAGCUCCAGGAUCUGGACCAAAUAACUCCUAUUUACGCUUGACAUCAUACCUCUGCUCCAAAGCUGAUGAAACAAAUGCCUGCAAUGACUGCUUCUGUAACUGAAUAAAUGGCAAGGAUCUGUGUUUCUCUGUACACGUUGCAGGGGGCUGUCCUCCUCUAGCUUUUUUCUCCCUAAAAAACAAGUUAGGACAUCCGAUUCCCUAUGCCCCAGUCACUAAAUAGCGUCAUUUAAGCUACAGUGUCAGUUCCUGAUACAUUAGAAAACAGCAGAUUUAAGACUCUCUGGGCAAUCUUUUUUUGUCCCUCCCCAUACGCAUAUGUUUUCUUACAAACCCUUCCAUGACACAGUCAUAUUUUAGACUUUCCCACAGGAUGCAUGCCUCAUUCUGUACAACACAGGAUAAUCACACCCAGUGGCAGAAAUAAAUUAGCAUAGCAAUCUUAAUCUGGUAUUUCCUAAUUUUCCUAAUUUCCUUGUCCUUCAAUGUUCAGCUGCGCUAAUCUAAACAAUAUUCUUUCAAUGUAAUUUUUUUAUGUUAUCAUUUAAAUAUAUGUAUGUGCAUUUGUGUAUCUCUCCAUCUAUCUGGAUCUGUUAAUGUAUUGGUAAACACA